GAUUAUGGCUCAGGAUUAACGCUGGCGGCAUGCCUAAUACAUGCAAGUCGAAUGGGGAGCUUGCUUCCCAUGGCGAACGGGUGAGUAAUACGUAGGUAACCUACCUUUAGGACGAGGAUAACCUUUGGAAACGAAGGAUAAUACUGGAUAGUAUAGAUUUCCGCAUGGAGAUAUAUUUAAAGAUUUAUCACCUAGAGAGGGGCCUGCGGUGCAUUAGCUAGUUGGCGGGAUAAAGCCCACCAAGGCGAUGAUGCAUAGCCGGACUGAGAGGUUGUACGGCCACAAUGGAACUGAGAACGGUCCAUACUCCUACGGGAGGCAGCAGUAGGGAAUUUUCGGCAAUGGGCGGAAGCCUGACCGAGCAAAUGCCGCGUGAAUGAUGAAGUAUUUCGGUAUGUAAAGUUCUUUUAUCUAGGAAGAAAAACAAUUUGACGGUACUAGAUGAAUAAGCUCCGGCUAACUACGUGCCAGCAGCAGC
rnacentral:rRNA from 1 species